rnacentral:rRNA from 1 species
UACGAACUGUGCGAACGUUAUUCGGAAUCACUGGGCUUACAGGGUGCGUAGGCGGCUUUUCAAGUCAGGUGUGAAAGCCCCCGGCUCAACCGGGGAAUUGCGCUUGAAACUGGAGAGCUCGAGUCAGCUAGAGGUGCACGGAACUUCCAGUGGAGCGGUGAAAUGUGUUGAUAUUGGAAGGAACACCGGAGGCGAAAGCGGUGCACUGGGGCUGGUCUGACGCUGAGGCACGAAAGCUAGGGGAGCAAACAGG